GGCAAUAUGGCCGAGCGGUCUAAGGCGCUGGAAUCAGGUUCUUUCCCUAAUCCAGUCCGAAAGGGCGUGGGUUCGAAUCCCACUGUUGUCA